CACUUUUACUUUCUAGUGCUUGUGAAGUCUACACUUCGUCUUUUGUUCAAUAUUUUUUUCAAUAGUUUUAAGUGGUUGGGAUGGGAGAGUGAUAUUAAAAGACAUCGGUAUGCUAGUAUUUCCACCCCUGAACUGCAUAACCCGCACAUGUGUAACAGAUUAGCAGAUGGUCAAUGACAGAGAUUUUCAUUGGCUACGUAGUGUGAAACAAGGACAUGUUGAUUAGAGCUGGCAGCAGGCUCUCUCAGACGCACGCACGCACGCACACACACAUACAGACACACAGAAACACUCACUGGCCCCAGUUCAGUGCUACUAUUCCAUUCAUUCAGAACUGCAGCAGCCUCUUUACUCAAGCUUUGAUAUACAGAAAGCAAUGGCAGGACCAAGACCGGUGGUGCUGAGCGGGCCUUCCGGAGCAGGGAAGAGCACUCUGCUCAAGAGGCUUCUCAGAGAGUACGAAGGGGUGUUUGGCUUCAGUGUCUCACACACGACAAGGAACCCAAGACCUGGAGAAGAGAAUGGCAAGGGUAUGGAGACAAUGUAGUAAAGAAUAUUUAUAGUUAUAGUUAGAAUUUUUAAU